ensembl:lncRNA
AAAUAGUGGAACAAAAGGACCAACUUCCUCGGAGCUUUGCUGAAACUGCACAAAAAAUCGAGCUGGGGGGUUCCCUGGUCCCUGGCGAUGGGGCGGGGAGCACAGCGCCGAGGGAGGGGGCGGGAGCGGCAGCCCGGGCCCCGCCGAGGGGGGACACCUGGCUGAGGCACAGCUGCCGCCGCGCCGCUCCGCGCGAGCGCUCCCGUCUCUGCGCGGGCUCGAGAGCUCGCUCCGACCGGGGGUCUUCCUCCACCGUUGACAGGUUUAAUAAUGACAAAAUGAAGACCACAAUAAAACAGCCCCCUACUAGCCCAGGAAUUCUUACUUUGUGGAUAUUACUAUCCCUUCCUCAUGGAAAAUGUUUUAUUCUAAGUGUUGUUUCUCAUUGA